UGAAAUCUUGAAUUGUCUUCCGAUUUCUCUACCUAAAACUAUACGUAUAUUUAUUUAAGACUAAAAUGUUCUUCUUGGUUUGCUAUUAAACAAACUCGCAAAUUAUUUUAAGUUAUUCUUAUUCUUAAUUUAGAUGGCCAUUUAAAUUUAUUAUUAAGUUGAUUUUGUUUAUAAUUGGUGAGGCCAUCGAAGAAAUCGAGAUUCGACGGUGCAACCUAUAUAUGGCUGGCUGUGUCAUUAAUUUCGUUGAUAUGUCGCAUUCAUCGAUCAUCAUGUAAAUGGAUGGGAAAGCUAGCUAUAAAUUAACUAUCUAU
rnacentral:lncRNA from 1 species